rnacentral:rRNA from 1 species
GGGUCAGUAGGUUGGUCGUGCCACCGGUACGUACUGGUCUCACUGAUUCCUCCUUCCUGAAGAACCGUAAUGCCAUUAAUUAGGUGUUGCGGGGAAACAGGACUGUUACUUUGAAAAAAUUAGAGUGUUUAAAGCAAGCUAACGCUUGAAUACAUUAGCAUGGGAUAAUGAAAUAGGACGAUCGAUCCUAUUUUGUUGGUUUCUAGGAUUGACGUA